ensembl:misc_RNA
UUAACAGCCCUGGAAGCUGAAAUCCUCUCCUUAGCCACAGAACAGGUAGAGCAUGAGCAGCAGUAACAGCACAGACUUUUCCCCAGCCAACAUGCCUCAACCCUGACUGUGACAUUUGGAAAGGCCACUUCUAUGGGUGAGAGAGGAGCCCAGCUGGUUCAGCCCUUGACCUCUCCACUGAGUCUGCC